rnacentral:rRNA from 1 species
CAUGCUGUAAACGUUGGGCACUAGGUGUGGGGGCUGUCAUGGUUUCUGCGCCGUAGCUAACGCUUUAAGUGCCCCGCCUGGGGAGUACGGUCGCAAGGCUAAAACUCAAAGGAAUUGACGGGGGCCCGCACAAGCGGCGGAGCAUGCGGAUUAAUUCGAUGCAACGCGAAGAACCUUACCAAGGCUUGACAUACACCAGAAGCCUGCAGAGAUGUGGGUCUCUUUGAUACUGGUGUGCAGGUGG